rnacentral:rRNA from 1 species
UGGGGAAUUUUGGACAAUGGGGGCAACCCUGAUCCAGCCAUUCCGCGUGAGUGAAGAAGGCCUUCGGGUUGUAAAGCUCUUUUGUCCGGAACGAAACGGUUAUGGCGAAUACCCAUGACUACUGACGGUACCGGAAGAAUAAGCGCCGGCUAACUACGUGCCAGCAGCCGCGGUAAUACGUAGGGCGCAAGCGUUGUCCGGAUUCACUGGGUGUAAAGGGUGCGCAGGCGGGAAAGUAAGUUAGAGGUGAAAUCUCACAGCUUAACUGUGAAACUGCCUUUGAUACUGCUUUUCUUGAGUUAGGGAGAGGUUGAUGGAAUUCCAGGUGUAGCGGUGAAAUGCGUAGAUAUCUGGAAGAACACCGGUGGCGAAGGCGGUCAACUGGCCCUAAACUGACGCUCAGGCACGAAAGCGUGGGGAUCAAA